CUGUGCAAAGGUAGCAUAAUCAUUAGUUUUUUAAUUGAAAGCUGGAAUGAAGGGUUUGAUAAAAAAAAUACUGUCUCAAUAAUUAAAUUUAAAAUUUUAUUUUUAAGUAAGAAAGCUUAAAUUUUUUAAAAAGACGAGAAGACCCUAUAGAGUUUGAUAAGUUUAUAAAAUAAGUUUAUUUAGGUUUAAAAUUGAAUUAUUUUUUGAUUUGUUUUAUUGGGGUGAUAUAAAAAUUUAGUAAACUUUUUAUUUAUAAAAACAUAGAUUUAUGAUUAAUUGAUCUUAUAUUUUAGAUUAAAAGAAAUAAUUACCUUAGGGAUAACAGCGUAAUUUUUUUUAAAGUUCUUAUUGAAUAAAAAGUUUGCGACCUCGAUGUUGGAUUAAAGUUAAAUUUUGGCGGAGAAGCUAAAAUUUUAAGUCUGUUCGACUUUUAAAUCU
rnacentral:rRNA from 1 species